UGCGGAGGAUCAUUGUCGAAACCUGCAAAAGCAGACCGUGAACAUGUCAAACAACACAGGAUCGAGGCGCGGGGGAAACCUUGCGCCCAGUCCCCUUCUCGUGCGCGUUCGUUUGAUUUCAGGCGAGCGUGCUGCGAGCUAACGAACCCCGGCCCGGCAUGCGCCAAGGAUUACUAAUACGAGCGUCUGUCUGCCUUCGUCGCCCCGUACUCGGUGCGCGACGUGGUUAGUCACGUCUCUCCAAAGUCAUAACGACUCUCGGCAACGGAUAUCUCGGCUCUCGCAUCGAUGAAGAACGUAGCGAAAUGCGAUACUUGGUGUGAAUUGCAGAAUCCCGUGAACCAUCGAGUCUUUGAACGCAAGUUGCGCCCGAAACCUUUCGGUUGAGGGCACGUCUGCCUGGGCGUCACGCAUCGCGUCGCCCCCUGCCUCUGUCCCAUCCGCGGCGAUGGAGUGUUCGGGGCGGAUGUUGGCCCCCCGUGUGCGCAAGUGCGUGGUCGGCCUAAAUGAGAACCCGCGGCGACUCGCGUCACGACCAGUGGUGGUUGAAAACUAUCAACUUUCUUGCUAUCGUGUCGAUCGAAGUUGCGCGCCGAGCGAAGCAUCGAACCCUAAGGCUCGUUUAAAACAGAGCUUUCKACCGCGACCCCAGGUCAGACGGGGAUUACCCGCUGAGUUUAAGCAUAUCAAU
rnacentral:rRNA from 1 species